UUCUUCAGGAUCAUGGGGCCACGGGAGGCGACCGCCAUCGCGACGCCAAAAGUCGUUCAAGUGAGAUUUGCGACUACAGUUGUGGGCGAAUAAAGGUAGAUGACCCCGCGCCCCGAUAGUAUUUCGCAUCCCAGAGCCCGAACAAAGAAACAUGGGCCGCAACACAUCUCCACUUUGGGUGUGUUGAGGAAUACGGCUCUCGCUUCGAGGGUCACCCAAUGUUGUGUUGUUAAAACAAAACAAUCUAGGCGAACGUGAAAGAUUGACAAUCGAAUUCCAUCAUAGCAGGUACACAAUUCAGGAAACCAAUUGUACGGCCAAGGCUAUACAACACUUGUGCCUAUAAAUGAAGCGAGCAACAUGGUUGAACUUGCUUGCCCAGGACAGGG
rnacentral:misc_RNA from 1 species